rnacentral:lncRNA from 10 species
AAAAAAAAAAAAAAAAAAAAAGGGUCUUUGCUGUCACAAUUAAGCCUCUCAACAUGAGAUCAUCCUGGAUUGUUUAGAUGGGCCCUAAAUAUCACAACUAGAGUUUUGUUGUUGUUGUUGUUGGUUUGUUUCUUUGUUUUUGUGACGGAGUCUCACUCUAUCACCCGGCUGGAGUGCAGUGGUGUGAUCUUGGCUCACUGCAACCUCCACCUCCCGGGUCCAAGCGACUUUCCUGCCUCACCGUCCUGAGUAGCUGGGAUGACAGGUGCCCCCACCACACCCAGCCUAAUUUUUGUAUUUUUAGUAGAGACGGGGUUUCACCAUGUUGGCCAGGCUGGUCUCGAACUCCUGACCUCAAGCGAACAACUAGCAUUUUUAUAAACUACAGAAGACGGUGGCUAUUCAUCUGCCCCCUCUCUCCUGGGUAUUUGCGUGUCAGGUGCAGAGAUGGAGUCUUCUGAGGGCGCACAUCACAGCGUAGACAGAAAGUUGAGGUUGUACAUGCCGCAGGUUCCAGAUGGAAAUCACUAGUGCCUCCUCUUCUCUCUAAUAGGCACACUAGACACAGCAGGUGCAUUUUGGCGGUGGGAUGAGGUCCGACAGUCACCUUUAUUUUUUAUUUAUGUAUUCAUUAGUAUUAUUAUUUUUUGAGACUGAGUCUUAAACUGUCACCCAGGCUGGAGUGCAGUGGCGGCAUCUCGGCUCACUGCAACCUCCACUUCCCAGGUUCAAGGGAUUCUCCUGCCUCAGCCUCCUGAGUAGCUGGGAUUAUAGGCGCCCAUCACCAUGCCCAGCUAAUUUUUGUAUUUUUAGUAGGGACGGGGUUCGCCAUGUUGGUGAGGCUGGUCUCCAACUCUUUUUUUUUUUUUUUUUUUUUUUUGAGACGGAGUCUCGCUGUCUCCCAGGCUGGAGUUCAGUGCCUCAAUCUCGGCUCACUGCAAGCUCCACCUCCCGUGUUCUCGCCAUUCUCCUGCCUCAGCCUCCCCAGUAGCUGGGACUACAGGCGCCCGCCACCACACCUGGCUAAUUUUUUGUAUUUUUAGCCAUGGGGUUUCACCAUGUUAGCCAGGAUGGUCUCAAUCUCCUGACCUCGUGAUCUGCCUGCCUCGGCCUCCCAAAGUGCUGGGAUUACAGACAUGUGCCACCACGCCUGGCUAAUUUUUUGUAUUUUUAGUAGAGAUGGGGUUUCACCGUGUUGGCCAGGCUGGUCUCGAACUCCUGACCUUGGAUGAUCUGCUCGCCUCGGCCUCCCAAAUUGCUGGGAUGACAGACGUGAACCACCGUGCCUGGCCGACAGUCACCUUUAGAAUGUGAACAGUGGACACUGUGUUGGGGUCUCCUACCUGUGCCUGUGAUGUGGACUGGCCCAUCUCGUCAUGGACAAGUAGAGAUGGGGUUUCACCAUGUUGAGCAGUCUGGUCUUGAACUUCUGACCUCGUGAUCCACCCGCCUCAGCCCCCCAAAGUGCUGGGAUUACAGGCGUGAGCCACCGCGCCCGGCCUGAGACGGCUUUCCAAGGCUGCAGAAAUGAAGUCUGCAAUAGCAGAUCCUCUUUGCCUGGGUUUGCACGUGAUCCAGCAAACCACCCACCGACCCGUUGCCUCAUGUGAGACAUCCUCAGGGAACAGCAAGAAUUUUGAAGGUCCCUGAUAAGACAUCUUUGAGGUCAGGCAUAAAUCAUCACUUCACAUCUUGACGGCAAUGCAACGAAGACAAGUAUCUGUCUCUUUGGGUCUGUCUAACAAGGAGCAAAGCCUGGCCUCCCACCAGCAUCCAGACAAUAGUGGAUUCCCUCUCCAUAGAUGUCAAAAAAGAAACAGAUGCUCCCGCAGGUGAAAUGAGCUCUGGUCCACAAUGCAACGCAGGCUGUGCAGAAAAUCAAAGAGGAACCAACCCAGAAGUAUCCCCCAGGACAAAUCAUUAAGGGGGAAAAGGUCUCUGCAAAUGUAAUGAGUCCAGACACCAAGGGAAACGGAGAAGAUAAGAAGCAGAGAUUGAGGUAAUGCGUCCACCAGCCAAGGAGCACCAAGACGUGCUGGCGACCACCAGAUGCUAGCGGGGAGACCUGGAACAGAUUCUCCCUCAAAGCCUCCAGAAGACAAUCCAUGUCCAUUUACCUGUGUUCUGUGAGACAGAUGAAGCCUGGACUUCUGCUAUCCUGCCCUUGCUGGGAAUGAGCAGGGUUGUACCUGCACUCAUCAUGGAAUAAGCACUAAAGAAACAAAGCUACAACAGAAGAUGUCCUCUACUGCAGGGCACCUUACAUUCCAAUCCUCCAAUAUGGCAGCGAGUCAAAAUCUCAAAAGACCUGAGUGCCUUCUGCGUAAGUCCCCGUAGGCUUCUAGUAUUCAUUUUACAAGUAUACUGAUGCUCUCAGUUGAUGCUGAGGGGGUGGCUGUUCAUGAAGAUGAUGGAAUUGGCUUCGGCAGAGGUCUCUCUUUGACCAUCUAGAGGCACUGUUGCUUAUCUAUCAGGAAACGGAGGGAGGCACUGGGAAUUUGAACUCGAGCUCUGGAGUUCUUCCAUGCAGCUGUGUUUACGUAUCAUCAAGCACCGAUUCAUUGCCCGUUGGGACAGAGGAGAAUCAGGCCUGGUCUGGCAUCAUUGCCGGGUGGGUGUGAAAUGCCACUUCUACCGAGACCAACUGGAAAUGAAAGAUCGUCAACAGUCAAAAAGGUCACUGCAUAAAUGCCUGUGAAGUCCAAGUAACUGUCAGAGACAGAAUACGCUUUGCAGCGGAGAGUUUUCCAGGAAAGAAAAAUGGUCUCUGUGAAUGUUCUUUGGGAGGCCACGGAUGGCUUGUUCUGAAGUGAAUGGAAUUGCUUUGCAGAAGACGCAUAGCCAGGCUGAGUUCAGGAGGUAUCUCUUUUUUUUUUUUUUUUUUUUUUUGAGACGGAGUCUCGCUCUGUUGCCCAGGCUGGAGUGCAGUGGCACAAUCUCAGCUCACUGCAACCUCUGCUUCCCGGGUUCAAGCAAUUCUCCUGUCUCCACCUCCCGAGUAGCUGGCAUUACAGGCACUGCCACCAAGCCUGGCUAAUUUUUGUAUUUUUAGUAGAGAUGGAGUUUCACGAUGUUGGCCAGGCUAGUCUCGAACUCCUGACCUCAAGUGAUCCACCCACCUCAGCCUCUCAAAGUGCUGGGAUAACAGACGUGAGCCACUGCACCCGGCCCAGGAGGUGUCUUAAUCCAUUUGCUGUUGCUACAACAGAGUAACACCGUCUGGGUAAUUCACAGAAGAAGUUUAUUUUGUAAAGUCCUGGAGGCUGGCAAGUCCAAAAGGCAUGGUGCCUGCAUCUGAUGAGAGCCUCUUGCUAUAGUACAACAUAGUGGAGGACUUAUAAUGCCACCAGCUCUGUCCAUGUGGGCCUCGCUUUGAUGAUCUUACCUAAUUCUAAUUGUCUCCUAAGGGUGCCACUCCAAAUACUACAACAUACUAAUUUGAGAGAGAAGUUUCCAACACAUGAAGCUUGGGAGACACAAACCAUACAGGGUGGAGUCAAGACGGCUUGUUUAAUUCGGCCAACUUGAGCAAAGAGGCAUAAUGGUUAUUGCCUCUCUGGGUUCACUAAACACAUAAACAUGCCCACACUAAUAAUUCAUGUCGACCGCAGUACUCUCUGCUUUUCCUGAAUAGCAUAUUGUGUUGAACAGGUUAUACGACCUUGGGUAGAGACUUAGCUCUCUUUAAGCCUCCAUUUCUCAUCUGUAAAAUGAGAAUGAAAGAUGGUUUCUCCGUAUUUAUGGAAGGGUUCCAACAAGGUAAAGUGUGUAGCGUACUUUGUCAAUUCUAAAGCACUCUUCUGAUAUAAAUUAUAGCAUCCCCGGAUUCAUUGUUUGAGUUGGUUUCUUUUUUAAAAUUAAUUUCUGUUGUAUGUAUUUAAGGUGUGCAACAUGAUUUUUUGAUAUAGUGACAUAGUGAAAUGAUUAUAAUUGUUAAGAAAAUGAACACAGCUAUCAUCUCACAUAUUUACCUUUUUUGCGACAAGAGCACCUUAAAUCUACUCUCUUAACAAAAAUCCUAAAUAUGAAAUGUAUUAUAGUCCUUAUAUUUUGCAUUUGAUUUCUAGACUUAUUCUACAUCAUCUAUAACAACCACCAUUUUUUCUAUUUCUAUAUAUUUUCUUUCUUCCUUCCUUCCUUCUUUCCUUUCUUCCUUUUUUCUGAUAAGGAGUCUCGCUCUUUCGCCCAGGCUGGAGUGCAGUGGCGUGAUCUUGGCUCACUGCAAGCUCCGCCUCCCGGGUUCACGCCAUUCUCCUGCCUCAGCCUCCUGAGUAGCUGGGACUGCAGGCACCCACCACCAUGCCCAGCUAAUUUUUUGUAUUUUGUAUUUGCCUUCCUUUCUUUUUCAUUUCCUUCUUUCUGCCUUCUUUUCAUUCUUUUAUUUUUGUAGAUUCUUUAUAUAAGUGAGAUCCAAUACUUUUAACUGAAUGUGAACAUUUCUUUUACAAAAUAAAAUGUAUGUUCAGGCUUUUACUUAAUCCAUGCUAGUAAGAGCCUGGUUCAAAAAUGAGCUGCAGGUUUUUUCAAAGAGAAUCACAAUCAUUUCUGUGGAAUAGGUGAAGUGAAAGACAUUUUUAGAAAGUUUGCAUCUUUUUGCAGAGACUUUUAAUGAAGGGGUUUAUGUUUUCCGCUCUGUUCGUUUACUGAAAGCAAAAGAAGAAAAGUGAGGAAGGGAUUAUACAAAGAAAGUGACUGAAAAAUUCUGAAAAUAUCUGUUUUCAUAAGAUAAGAGCUUUAUUCUAGUUCUGAACAUAUAAUCAUAGUCAUCAUUGUCCUUAUUUAAAUAAAAACAGCUAGCUGGGCAACUUAGUCUCAUUGAAAUUCCUGAGAUCUUCAUUCUUUCUUGGUAUUUGGCUGAAAAAAGAAUAAGUUUAUCUCAUUCUUUUCCCAAAGUAUAGCACAAGGUUGAGAGCCUGGACUCGUGGCAUGCAUACCUAAUGAGACCGUUGUAUUACUUGGGGUGAAACUCCUUCCAUUUGACUUGAUGUAGUUAUUUUCUUUUUCUUGCAAGGGAAGCAAACUUUGGGUUCUACCUGGGUCUUCCUUAAGCAUCAGGUGUGUUUCAAAUGGAUAGAUUUAAUAAUAAUUGAUCCACUAAUAAUUGAUCCACUGGGCAAUGAUUUUUUAAAUGUUUGUUUUCAAAUUUAAAACAAUGCCUCAAGUUUAGAAAUGCCUCUCCUCGGCCGGGC